rnacentral:rRNA from 1 species
UACGAGGGGAGCUAGCGUUGUUCGGAAUUACUGGGCGUAAAGGGCGCGUAGGCGGUACCAUAAGUCAGAUGUGAAAGCCCUGGGCUUAACCUAGGAGGUGCAUUUGAUACUGUGGAACUAGAGAUCGAGAGAGGAAAGUGGAAUUACGAGUGUAGAGGUGAAAUUCGUAGAUAUCAGGAGGAACACCUGCGGUGUAGACGGCUUACUGGACCGUAACUGACGCUGAGGCACGAAAGCGUGGGUAGCGAACAGG